rnacentral:rRNA from 1 species
GAGUUUGAUUAUGGCUCAGGAUGAACGCUGGCGGCAUGCCUAACACAUGCAAGUUGAACGAGAAGUUCCGGAGGGAGUCUUCGGACGAACGAAGGGAUGGAAAGUAGCGAACGGGUGAGUAACGCGUGGGCAACCAACCUUACACAGGGGGAUAACACAGAGAAAUCUGUGCUAAUACCGCAUAAGCGCACAGUACUGCAUAGUACGGUGUGAAAAACUCCGGUGGUGUAAGACGGGCCCGCGUCUGAUUAGCUAGUUGGUAGGGUAAAAGCCUACCAAGGCAACGAUCAGUAGCCGACCUGAGAGGGUGAUCGGCCACAUUGGGACUGAGACACGGCCCAAACUCCUACGGGAGGCAGCAGUGGGGGAUAUUGCACAAUGGAGGAAACUCUGAUGCAGCAAUGCCGCGUGAAGGAAGAAGGUCUUCGGUUUGUAAACUUCUAUCAGCAGGGAAGAAAAUGACG